UGGCUCAGAUUGAACGCUGGCGGCAGGCCUAACACAUGCAAGUCGAGCGGAUGAGAAGAGCUUGCUCUUCGAUUCAGCGGCGGACGGGUGAGUAAUGCCUAGGAAUCUGCCUGGUAGUGGGGGACAACGUUUCGAAAGGAACGCUAAUACCGCAUACGUCCUACGGGAGAAAGCAGGGGACCUUCGGGCCUUGCGCUAUCAGAUGAGCCUAGGUCGGAUUAGCUAGUUGGUGAGGUAAUGGCUCACCAAGGCGACGAUCCGUAACUGGUCUGAGAGGAUGAUCAGUCACACUGGAACUGAGACACGGUCCAGACUCCUACGGGAGGCAGCAGUGGGGAAU
rnacentral:rRNA from 1 species